rnacentral:rRNA from 1 species
CUUGCAGGGUACUCGAGUGGCAACGGGUGAGUAACACGUGGGUGAUCUGCCCUGCACUUCGGGAUAAGCUUGGGAAACUGGGUCUAAUACCGGAUAGGAACCAUCUUUAGUGUGGUGGUUGGAAAGUUUUUUCGGUGUAGGAUGAGCUCGCGGCCUAUCAGCUUGUUGGUGGGGUAAUGGCCUACCAAGGCGGCGACGGGUAGCCGGCCUGAGAGGGUGUACGGCCACAUUGGGACUGAGAUACGGCCCAG